CCUACGGGAGGCAGCAGUGGGGAAUAUUGGGCAAUGGGCGCAAGCCUGACCCAGCAACGCCGCGUGAAGGAAGAAGGCUUUCGGGUUGUAAACUUCUUUUCUGAGGGACGAAGAAAGUGACGGUACCUCAGGAAUAAGCCACGGCUAACUACGUGCCAGCAGCCGCGGUAAUACGUAGGGGGCAAGCGUUAUCCGGAUUUACUGGGUGUAAAGGGGGCGCAGGCGGCGUGGCAAGUCAGAUGUGAAAACCCGGGGCCCAACCCCGGGAGUGCAUUUGAAACUGCCAUGCUGGAGUGCCGGAGAGGUAAGCGGAAUUCCUAGUGUAGCGGUGAAAUGCGUAGAUAUUAGGAGGAACACCAGUGGCGGAGGCGGCUUACUGGACGGUAACUGACGCUGAGGCUCGAAAGCGUGGGGAGCAAACAGGAUUAGAUACCCCUGUAGUC
rnacentral:rRNA from 1 species